ACAACACAAACGCCGAAGCAACUGAGAAGGCGCACAGCGGCGGAAAAAAAGGGAAGCCGUAUAUAGCUAGGCGAAACCAAAUUUCGUCCGUCUCAGGUUCGCAAAACUCCUAGAGCGUAUGUGCCACAGAAAUUGGGCAGUUGCCGCUACUCACCACUGGUCCACUAAAAAUGAAGAAGGGAAUGGGCGGCACACAGCAAUUAAGAUUUAUGGACAGACAUUUAUCCGAAAACACGGAGCCCAAGCUAUGCUUACCUCGCUCCGUGGCGGGAAUGAUAAGGAGGCCAAGCAAGAACCCGAAACCAGCCGAAGCGGACCCGAAAGGUCCUUGUUCUCUACCGAAGCAGCGAUCAGUAAUGCUGUUUUGACCCGCAGGUGGCCGGUGUGAGAUGGCAUGCUACGCUCGUCUUCUCAUCUGCCACGUAGCAGCACGCGUGACUGCUCUUUUUUUCCUGCGGGUGUGGCAGACAAAAUAAUGAGGUUGUGUGUUUGCUGAA
rnacentral:lncRNA from 1 species